rnacentral:rRNA from 1 species
UACGUAGGGGUCGAGCGUUGUCCGGAAUCAUUGGGCGUAAAGCGCGUGUAGGCGGUCCGGUAAGUCCGCUGUGAAAGUCGGGGGGCUCAACCCUCGGAUGCCGGUGGAUACUGUCGGGCUUGAGUACGGAAGAGGCGAGUGGAAUUCCUGGUGUAGCGGUGAAAUGCGCAGAUAUCAGGAGGAACACCAAUUGCGAAGGCAGCUCGCUGGGACGUUACUGACGCUGAGACGCGAAAGCGUGGGGAGCAAACAGG